rnacentral:rRNA from 1 species
AUUGAACGCUGGCGGCAGGCUUAACACAUGCAAGUCGAGCGGGGUGAGGUGCUUCGGUACUGAUCCUAGCGGCGGACGGGUGAGUAAUGCUUAGGAAUCUGCCAUUUAGUGGGGGACAACAUUCCGACAGGAAUGCUAAUACCGCAUACGUCCUACGGGAGAAAGCAGGGGACCUUCGGACCUUGCGCUAAAUGAUGAGCCUAAGUCGGAUUAGCUAGUUGGUGGGGUAAAGGCCUACCAAGGCGACGAUCUGUAGCGGGUCUGAGAGGAUGAUCCGCCACACGGGGACUGAGACACGGCCCAGACUCCUACGGGAGGCAGCAGUGGGGAAUAUUGGACCAUGGGCGGAAGCCUGAUCCAGCCAUGCCGCGUGUGUGAAGAAGGCCUUUUGGUUGUAAAGCACUUUAAGCGAGGAGGAGGCUACCUGGAUUAAUACUCUAGGAUAGUGGGCGUUACUCGCAGAAUAAGCACCGGCUAACUCUGUGCCAGCCGCCGCGGUAACAC